CCUACGGGAGGCAGCAGUGAGGAAUAUUGGUCAAUGGACGAGAGUCUGAACCAGCCAAGUAGCGUGAAGGAUGACUGCCCUAUGGGUUGUAAACUUCUUUUAUAUGGGAGUAAAAUGUUCCACGUGUGGGAUUUUGUAUGUACCCUAUGAAUAAGGAUCGGCUAACUCCGUGCCAGCAGCCGCGGUAAUACGGAGGAUCCGGGCGUUAUCCGGAUUUAUUGGGUUUAAAGGGAGCGUAGGUGGAUUGUUAAGUCAGUUGUGAAAGUUUGCGGCUCAACCGUAAAAUUGCAGUUGAAACUGGCAGUCUUGAGUACAGUAGAGGUGGGCGGAAGUCGUGGUGUAGCGGUGAAAUGCUUAGAUAUCACGAAGAACUCUGAUUGCGAAGGCAGUUCACUGGACUGCAACUGACACUGAGGCUCGAAAGUGUGGGUAUCAAACAGGAUUAGAUACCCUGGUAGUC
rnacentral:rRNA from 1 species